rnacentral:rRNA from 1 species
CAAAUGACUCUCGGCAACGGAUAUCUCGGCUCAUGCAUCGAUGAAGAACGUAGCAAAAUGCGAUACUUGGUGUGAAUUGCAGAACCCCGUGAACCAUCGAGUUUUUGAACGCAAGUUGCGCCCAAAGCCUUUUGGCUGAGGGCACGUCUGCCUGGGCGUCACAU